UACAGAGGGUGCGAGCGUUGUUCGGAAUUAUUGGGCGUAAAGGGCGCGUAGGCGGCGCCACAAGUCACUUGUGAAAACUCUGGGCUCAACUCAGAGCCUGCAAGCGAAACUGUGGUGCUGGAGUAUGGGAGAGGUGCGUGGAAUUCCCGGUGUAGCGGUGAAAUGCGUAGAUAUCUGGAGGAAUACCGGUGGCGAAGGCGGCAUCCUGGACCGACAUUGACGCUGAUGAGCGAAAGCUAGGGGAGCAAACGGGG
rnacentral:rRNA from 1 species